GACCUAACCCGUCAGCUUCGGCUGUCGGUAUGGUUGUAAAUACCCGCUAGAGAUUAAAGGACUCCCAGUCAGAGUCACUCUAGCGGGUCAUAUCUGGAAACGGGUAUGGGUCUGACCGAAAGGUUGGAUC
rnacentral:sRNA from 1 species